GGGUCUGUAGCUCAGUGGUCAGAGCAGGUGACUCAUAAUCACUUGGUCGGGGGUUCGAAUCCCUCCAGGCCCA
rnacentral:tRNA from 1 species